UAAACAUAGGAGGUCCUGCCUGCCCAGUGAUCCAAUUCAACGGCCGCGGUAUUUUAACCGCAAAAGGUAGCACAAUCACUCGUUCUUUAAAUAAGGACUAGUAUGAACGGCCCAACGAAGGCUGCGCUGUCUCCUUUCCCACAUCAAUGAACCUGAUUUCCCCGUGAAGAAGCGAGGAUAAACCUAUAAGACGAAAAGACCCUAUGGAGCUUCAGAUGAAAUAUUAUAUGCCCCAAAAUUAACAUAUCUACAUAUCCAUCUUCGGUUGGGGUGACCACGGAGAAAAACAAACCCUCCACGACAAACAAGCCUAAAUACACAACUUAAAGCAUCAACAAUUUAUCACUUGACCCAAUUACGAUUGAUCAACGAACCAAGUUACCCUAGGGAUAACAGCGCAAUCCAUUUCAAGAGCCCAUAUCAACAAAUGGGUUUACGACCUCGAUGUUGGAUCAGGGUAUCCUAGUGGUGCAACCGCUACUAAAGGUUCGUUUGUUCAACGAUUAAAACCCUACGUGAUCUGAG
rnacentral:rRNA from 1 species